ensembl:lncRNA
AAAACAGGGAGCAUCGAUGCUCACAAUGUUCCCUUACUGGAUAUGACAUGCUUUCUGAAUGGUGGACAGACUCUUAGCCAACUUCCAUUUACAAAUGAUACACACACAGGAUACACACAAUGGACAAGGAUUUUGCUGUCCUAUUAUCCUGAGUCUGAGAGAUGAGGAGUGUGUGUUGUUUGGACCCCCCACACAUACUUUUUGGGAAAUGAUUGCGCAACCAUGGGGGCAUUAACUACAGUAUAUGCAGGUAAUUUGCAUGCUCUUGAUUGGAACAUCCAGGAAAUGGACUUAAGCAGAAACUCAGCUAACAUCUCAGGUGACAACUCUAAGCUAGUAGUGAACAUGUGAUGGAUCAGUGUUAUUGUGUCAUUAAAUGUAACAGCCAAUCAUGUUUCAGCAUGCAAAUACAGG